CCUACGGGAGGCAGCAGUGGGGAAUAUUGCACAAUGGGGGGAACCCUGAUGCAGCGACGCCGCGUGGGUGAAGGAGUAUUUCGGUAUGUAAAGCCCUAUCAGCAGGGAAGAACAAUGACGGUACCUGACUAAGAAGCACCGGCUAAAUACGUGCCAGCAGCCGCGGUAAUACGUAUGGUGCAAGCGUUAUCCGGAUUUACUGGGUGUAAAGGGAGCGCAGGCGGCGCGUUAAGCCUGGUGUGAAAGUCCGCGGCCCAACCGCGGGACUGCAUUGGGAACUGGCGCGCUGGAGUGCCGGAGGGGUAGGCGGAAGUCCUAGUGUAGCGGUGAAAUGCGUAGAUAUUAGGAGGAACACCAGUGGCGAAGACGGCCUACUGGACGGUGACUGACGCUGAGGCUCGAAAGCGUGGGGAGCAAACAGGAUUAGAUACCCCUGUAGUC
rnacentral:rRNA from 1 species